rnacentral:rRNA from 1 species
GACGAACGCUGGCGGCGUGCCUAAUACAUGCAAGUAGAACGCUGAAGGAGGAGCUUGCUUCUCUGGAUGAGUUGCGAACGGGUGAGUAACGCGUAGGUAACCUGCCUGGUAGCGGGGGAUAACUAUUGGAAACGAUAGCUAAUACCGCAUAAUAGUAGAUGUCGCAUGACAUUUGCUUAAAAGGUGCAAUUGCAUCACUACCAGAUGGACCUGCGUUGUAUUAGCUAGUUGGUGAGGUAACGGCUCACCAAGGCAACGAUACAUAGCCGACCUGAGAGGGUGAUCGGCCACACUGGGACUGAGACACGGCCCAGACUCCUACGGGAGGCAGCAGUAGGGAAUCUUCGGCAAUGGACGGAAGUCUGACCGAGCAACGCCGCGUGAGUGAAGAAGGGUGUCGGAUCGGAAAGCUCUGUUGUAAGAGAAGAACGAGUGUGAGAGUGGAAAGUUCACACUGUGACGGUAUCUGACCAGAAAGGGACGGCUAACUACGUG